UACUUUUUUUCAUCAAUAUCGAUAUGGUUGAUUGAUUCAACUAGAUCUUUUGUGUGUGAUAAGUUUUCCGUUUCAAAAAAAACAAAAAUCGUUAAAAUAUCGUUUGGUCCGAUGAGAAGCUACAUGUUUUUGGUGAUAAUUUUGAUCGCGGUCCUGGAACAACUUCACAUGGGAAACAACAACAAAAAAAUCGAUGAUUUAAUGAUGAGCAAAUGUCAUUCACAUUUUUUUUGUCAUCGUUGUUUUGGGUGUUCGAUGUAAUCACCGAGAAACCGUUUUUGGUUCAAUUUUUUGAAAAAAAAUUAUUAUGGUCAUCAUUUUUGUUGUUGUUGUUGUUGAAAUACAUCUGUCAAAAUUAUAGAGAGCAAAAAUGUCAGAAUAAAAAAUGAAAUAUCAUUAAUCUCUUGCUGUUGUCUAACUACAACCAUUCAGUUAUACGGUUAAAUGGAGAUUAUAUUUGGUGGUAAAUAAAAAAAAAACAGAAAAAUUCUUUUCCCGUUACUGUCACCUUUUUUUUCCACUACAUAAGCAUCGUUUGUUUUUUAUAAUUUUUGCUUCCGCAUAACAAAUCUUUUUUUUUCUUUCUUCAUCAUGUCAUAUCGGUCGACCAUCAUCAUCAUCAUCAUAAUUUCUAUUUUGUUUGUAAUAGAUAUUUGUAAUGAU